rnacentral:rRNA from 1 species
CCGGAUUGCUAUCGGGAUGGGACUAAGCCAUCAAGUCUAAAUGGUAUUUCAUGCUUAUACCAUUGGCGAAUCGCUCAGUAACACGUAGUUAAUCUCCCCUAUGGAGAGGCAUACCCUCGGGAAAGUACCACAGGGAAUUACAUGUGGUACCUCGAAACUGAGGCUAAUUCCUCAUAGGCCACGCUGACUGGAAUGUUGCGUGACCCAAAGGACUUCUGAAGCUAUGAGAUGAAGCUUGCCAUAGGAUGAGACUGCGGUGGAUUAUGGUUGUUGGUGGGGUAACGGCCCACCAAGCCUUUGAUCCGUACGGGCCGUGAGAGCGGGAGCCCGGAGAUGGGAACUGAGAUACUGUCCCAAGCCCUACCGGGGCGCAGCAGGCGCGAAACCUCCGCAAUGCACGCAAGGUGUGACGGGGCCAUCCCGAGUGCCUACGAGCUUUUCAUCAGUGUAAGUAGCUGAUGGAAUAAGG